GGGGGUGAAACGGGUUCGACGGGGAUAUAAAAGCUCAGGUUGCAUGUCGAGAAUUCUAUCUUUCUCGUAAACAUUGAUAGAACUUUAAAUAUAGUCGCA
rnacentral:tmRNA from 1 species